GAAGACUGACACUGCCCGAUCGCCUCAGAAGCCCCCUAAACCAUCACGGAUGCUGAGCUUCAGGUAACUCUCACAAUGGAAGAAGAGAGGAAUGUCAGGCCUCUGAGCCCAAGCUAAGCCAUCACAUCCCCUGUGACCUGCACAUCUACAUCCAGAUGGCCUGAAGUAACUGAAGAAUCACAAAAGAAGUGAUAUUUAAAUGGCCUGUUCCUGCCUUAACUGAUGACAUUCCACCACAAAAGAAGUGAAAAUGGCUGGUCCUUGCCUUAACUGAUGACAUUACCUUGUGAAAUUCCUUCUCCUGGCUCAUCCUGGCCUAAAAAGCUCCCUGACUGAGCACCUUGUGACCCCCCACUCCUGCCUGCCAGAGAACAACCCCCUUUUUUCCUUUACCUACCCAAAUCUUAUAAAAUGGCCCCACCCCUAUCUCCCUUCGCUGACUCUCUUUUUGGACUCAGCCCGCCUGCACCCAGGUGAUUAAAAGCUUUAUUGC
rnacentral:lncRNA from 1 species